GUGAAAGUCGUGAAGGAGAUAAAGCAAAAUGCCCCACCAAUUUUGACCACCUUCACGAGGAGAAUCAGAGAAGGCGUGAAUUCUGAGCAUCUUCACCGGGAGAUCCCUGGUCCCUUGCUCUCCAGAUGCGCUAUAAGAUACAUCCUGCAUCUAGCAUGUUGAAUGAUCUCCAAAAUCUCUGAUGCCUGAGCCAUGUCCUAUUGUCCAGAUUAAGACAUUUUUCCUUUAAAGCAGUACAGUAAAAAG